rnacentral:lncRNA from 1 species
GCACUCAUGACCAUUAGGUAAGAGAACUGCUAGUAGUUCUGGCAGCCAGAUUCAGGCCCUAAAAACUCUGUGAUCUGACAUAUUUAUCAAGCUUAUGUAUGUAUUAUACAGAUGUAAAGAAGAGAAUUUAGCUGCAUACCAGUUGCUGAGGACUACUCCCUACUGCCAAAUGUUAUAGACAAGAAGUUGCCAGGCAGAGUGCUUCUCAAGAAUGGUGAUGCUGAUGUCUCAUUGCAGACUGGAGAAGACUUCCAGCACGGCAGCUGUCUGGAGAAACUGCAGAAGCAGGUGCCAGAAGUAGCGAGUAUUUAAAUAUAUGUCCAACGUGGAGCAGGAAAUUGAAAAUUGAUUCUCCACAGCAUUUAUCUGAGAUGUGGUUCAAGUUCUUCAAGCUAGCCAAAGCAAAGAGCUUCCACUCUCAGUGGAAUGCCAGCUUGGCAGACAGUCUGGAGUUGAUUCAGUGGCAUCUUUGAAGAGAAAUUCAGAAAUUGUAUAUUUUUUAAACAAGUUUCCUAAAUAAGCAUGGAAGGUAAAAAAGACACCAAGAAGGAUUUUUAAUUACCUAUGUGAUGUUCAAGCACCUUUUAGUGGAGACAGAGGUGAUGAGCUGGCAAAUAUGAUUGAUGAUCAGAUUACAACUCCUAGUGAUUUUCUUUAGCUGUGCUGUGGAGUGACUGCAAGCUCUGACACAGAUCAGCCUUCUUGUGCUAGCUCUCAUACACGUAGACAUAAAGGAGGAGGCUUCUGCCCAAAGCACUAACCCACAGACUGCAAUAGGAGCCAGCUUGGAAAGGACCAAAAGCUAAGAAGACAAAAGGUGACAGCCCAUUGCUGGAGUCUGAAUAUCCUCUGAGACAGACACCUAAUGUGUGGGUGGCUGUUCCCACAAGCACACAUCCGCUGCUAACCGGUGGCUCAGCUUCUGCCAUGGAAGUGCGUUUACUCUCCUCCAGCUUUCCAACCAGUUCCCAAGGUUGCUGAGUACAGCUGCAGCACAGGAGUGCACUCCAGGAAAGCUAAGUGCCUACUGUGAAAGUAAGUGGCAAGACAUAAAGUCAUAUUUUCACUAAUGUUUCUAUGAAUUUGAUAUAGUAACAGGGAUGUACCGAUUUGAAAUGGUAACCUUUGUCACUCUGAGUCCUCUAUAAACGAGUGGUUAAAACGGCACUUGAGUGUUACACAGCUUAGUGACGUUUUUCUCAGCAAAAUCAAUGAAACCAGUCUUGGGUAAAAUGUUUGCAAGAAUAUAAAAGUGACUUAGACAAUUCCAUGCCUAAGCUUGAGUUUGGUAGAGCAGCACCUUCAGUGGGGGCCCAUAAAAUGCUGCUUGGACUCCAGGAGCUGUGAUGUGCGAGGCAGCUCUAACCCUCUUUUACGCUCCAGCAGGAGAGAUAGUG